rnacentral:rRNA from 1 species
UCCGUAGGGGUCUAGCGUUGUCCGGAAUUAUUGGGCGUAAAGAGCUCGUAGGCGGUGUGUCGCGUCGGUCGUGAAAACUUGGGGCUUAACUCUGAGCUUGCGGUCGAUACGGGCAUCACUUGAGUUCGGCAGGGGAGACUGGAAUUCCUGGUGUAGCGGUGAAAUGCGCAGAUAUCAGGAGGAACACCGGUGGCGAAGGCGGGUCUCUGGGCCGAUACUGACGCUGAGGAGCGAAAGCGUGGGGAGCGAACAGG